UACGUAGGGUGCAAGCGUUAAUCGGAAUUACUGGGCGUAAAGCGUGCGCAGGCGGUUUUGUAAGUCUGAUGUGAAAUCCCCGGGCUCAACCUGGGAAUUGCAUUGGAGACUGCAAGGCUAGAAUCUGGCAGAGGGGGGUAGAAUUCCACGUGUAGCAGUGAAAUGCGUAGAGAUGUGGAGGAACACCGAUGGCGAAGGCAGCCCCCUGGGUCAAGAUUGACGCUCAUGCACGAAAGCGUGGGGAGCAAACAGGAUUA
rnacentral:rRNA from 1 species